AUUGAACGCUGGCGGCAGGCCUAACACAUGCAAGUCGAACGGCAGCACAGAAGAGCUUGCUCUUUGGGUGGCGAGUGGCGGACGGGUGAGUAAUGUCUGGGAAACUGCCCGAUGGAGGGGGAUAACUACUGGAAACGGUAGCUAAUACCGCAUAACGUCGCGAGACCAAAGUGGGGGACCUUCGGGCCUCACACCAUCGGAUGUGCCCAGAUGGGAUUAGCUAGUAGGUGGGGUAAUGGCCCACCUAGGCGACGAUCCCUAGCUGGUCUGGGAGGAUGACCAGCCACACUGGAACUGAGACACGGUCCAGACUCCGACGGGAGGCAGCAGUGGGGAAUAUUGCACAAUGGGCGCAAGCCUGAUGCAGCCAUGCCGCGUGUAUGAAGAAGGCCUUCGGGUUGUAAAGUACUUUCAGCGGGGAGGAAGGCGGUGAGGUUAAUAACCUCGCCGAUUGACGUUACCCGCAGAAGAAGCACCGGCUAACUCCGUGCCAGCAGCCGCGGUAA
rnacentral:rRNA from 1 species